rnacentral:rRNA from 1 species
UCGCAUGGGCGAGCCUGACGGAGCACGCCGCGUGAGUGAUGAAGGUCUUCGGAUCGUAAAACUCUGUUAUCAGGGAAGAACAAAUGUGUAAGUAACUGUGCACAUCUUGACGGUACCUGAUCAGAAAGCCACGGCUAACUACGUGCCAGCAGCCGCGGUAAUACGUAGGUGGCAAGCGUUAUCCGGAAUUAUUGGGCGUAAAGCGCGCGUAGGCGGUUUUUUAAGUCUGAUGUGAAAGCCCACGGCUCAACCGUGGAGGGUCAUUGGAAACUGGAAAACUUGAGUGCAGAAAAGGAAAGUGGAAUUCCAUGUGUAGCGGUGAAAUGCGCAAAGAUAUGGAGGAACACCAGUGGCGAAGGCGACUUUCUGGUCUGUAACUGACGCUGAUGUGCGAAAGCGUGGGGAUCAAACAGGAUUAGAUACCCUGGUAGUCCACGCCGUAAACGAUGAGUGCUAAGUGUUAGGGGGUUUCCGCCCCUUAGUGCUGCAGCUAACGCAUUAAGCACUCCGCCUGGGGAGUACGACCGCAAGGUUGAAACUCAAAUGAAAUUGACGG